CCAAGAGAGUAUAAAGUCAUUUAAAAAAAGUCUAAAAAGGAGAGAGGAUCCAGGAGAAUAAAGUAGUCAGUGGUGUUAAAGGCAACCCAAAGGUCAAGAAGGAUGAGAAUUGAGAAAAUCCCAUCAUAUUUGUCAGUUAAUCAAUCAUUAGUAACUUGAGGAUUCAGUAAAACGGUUAGGUUAGAUGCUAGACUAGAGGGUUUAGAAUUGAGUGUAAGAGAAAGAGACAAUUGAAUAUGACUUUCUCAAGGAAUUUAGCUAAGAAGUGCUGAGAAAUAAGUAAUGAUAGCUAGUGAUGAUAAAUGGAUAGAAUGGGGGUGGGUUUUUUUUUAAUGUUUUAUUUUGUUUUUGAGAGUCACUGGAGAGUCAUGAACCCAUUUGUAGUCAGCAGGGAGCACAUCCAACAGAAAGGAAAAGAUGAAAGAGCAGCCAUAAUAGAAGGAGCUAUCUGCUGAAGAAAAUAAGAAGGAAUGGGAUCACUUGUGUACUUAAAGAAAGGAGUUUGCUUAGUAAGAAGAGCUACAUCUUCAUGUCAGGCAGGGAUGAAUGAGUUGAUAAGGGAGAGCCUGUAGGAUUUGAAACUUUGUUACCAACAUGAGAAGACUUAGCCAACAGAGUUCAUUGGAGAAAAAUGUACAUUUUGUAAAAUCUAAUGGCACCAGUUCAGUGGCCAAACCAUUUAUCAUUCAAGCGUUUAGUGAAGUCUUGCAAUAUAUGCAUGAAAUAUUUUAUAGAUGCAUACUUUAUCAGGGCUUCAAAAACAGCCCUCAAUGGGCAUCUAGAAGGGAAAUAAUAAAAUUUUACAGAAAUAAGGACUGGUAUUGAAGACCUCCAGAUGAUAAAAUUCCCUCUACCAAAGCAAUUAAGCAACAUUUUUGAAACUCAUCACUUUAGAGUGUUGCCUGGGGCAAUGAGAGGGUAUGUAAUUUUCCCAGGAUUACACAGUUGGUAUGUAUCAAAAAUGGAACUUGAAUAUAAGUCUUCCUGGCUUUAAGACUGGCUUUCUAUCUACUCUGCCAGGCCGGUUUUCAAUACUUACACACCCACAUGGAUUUAUAGAAUUCGUUCCCUAAAAUUGGCUUUGGAAAUCUCUUCAAAUUGAGAGUCAUCUGACUGAUAAUAAUUAGAUUUGGAAAACAUAAUCUUGUUUAUUUUGACUCUUGUUAUUCAUUCAUUUUCAGUUAUGUCUGAUUCUUUGUGAACAUAUUUAGGGUUUUCUGGGCAAAGAUACUGGAGUGGCUUGCCAUUUCCUUCUCCAGUUCACUUUAUAGAUGAAGAACUAAGGCAAACUGGGUUGAGUGGUCUGCUCAGGACCACACUGCUAUUAAGUGUCUGAAGCUACAUUUGAACCCAGAGAUGAGUCUUCCUGAUUCAAGGCUUGGCCCUCAAUCUAUUGCACCACCUAGCUGCCCUCUAUUUUGAUUAUGUUGCUUUUCAGUCAUUGUGAGUCAUGUCCAACUCCUCCUGACCUCAUUUGGGGUUUUCUUGGUUAAGCUACUAUUUGCUAUUUCCUUCUCCAGCUCAUUUGACAGAUGAGGAAAUGGAGGCAAACAGGGUGAAGUAACUUGCAAAGGGCCACAGAACUAGUAGAUCAGAUUUAAAGCUGUCGUCAUGACUUCCAGUCUGGUACUCUAUCCACUGUACCAUUUUAUACCUUGUGCUAAUAGCAGAGCAAGAAGGCAAGGUCAAGGCAAAUAACUGCCCCAGCUUCUUCAGUAGAACUGCUGUAGUUCCUAAUAGUCCAAUGAUUAUUCAUCCAAGUGAAUAAGAAAAAACACAGUUCUAACAGAAAGAAAAAAAUAGAAUGGCACAAAGCUGACUACAAAGUCUCACAGAGCCAGAAUCCUGACUUGUACUGUAGGACUUCAGAGCUGGAAGAAUCCUCAGCAGCCAGUUGGUCCAACCUGAACCUGAAGAAGAAUCCUCCCCACUACGUCAUAUCCAAUGUGUGGUCAUCCAGUCUUCAACUGAAGACUCCUAACAUAGCUGAACUCAUUAACUCCUGGAAGAAGUCUAUUUGGUCUCUUCUAGCCACUCUCUGUGUGACAUUGGAUAACUUAUAUAACUUCUCUGGGUUUUACUCUUAUCUGUAAUAUGGGAGAAUUGAUCUAAAUGAUCUCCAAAAUCUGUUCCAAAUCCAAA